rnacentral:rRNA from 1 species
AGACUGAGUGGCGGACGGGUGAGUAACGCGUGGGUAACCUGCCUCACACUGGGGGACAACAGUUAGAAAUGACUGCUAAUACCGCAUAAGCGCACAGGACCACAUGGUCCGGUGUGAAAAACUCCGGUGGUGUGAGAUGGACCCGCGUUUGAUUAGCUGGUUGGUGGGGUAACGGCCUACCAAGGCAACGAUCAGUAGCCGACCUGAGAGGGUGACCGGCCACAUUGGGACUGAGACACGGCCCAGACUCC